UUCCACCGGGCAAGACUUUCGUCUACGAAUUCCAGAUGAAGCACAGCGGAACGUUUAUGUAUCAUCCGCACUCGGACGAAAUGGUCCAGAUGGCGAUGGGUAUGAUGGGCAUGAUCGUCGUGCAUCCGCGCGAUCCGGCAUUCCGGCCGGUCGACCGCGACUUCGUGUUCAUCAUGAGCACCUACGACAUCGAUCCCGGCACCUAUCUGCCGAAGGUGUCGGAAAUGACGAAUUUCAA
rnacentral:misc_RNA from 1 species